UAAACUGUAGCUAGUUAAUCUCGGAAACUAAAGAGUCCAGAAUAUAAAUAAGGGAACUUCGCUGCAAUAUGAUCAUACCUUUCCUGUAAUUUCUGGAAGCCCCGAGGAACAUCUACUAAAACAAUAGGUCCAGCAGCUAAACGGUUAAGAAUUACCUUCCAACACAAGCUGAACACGGGGGGAGAGAGAUGAUGUAAAUCCCUCGGAACGCCAUGUGACACUUGGAGGCAGCUUUAAUUAAUAAUAGAGCUCCUAACGACGGACGCACUGACUUUUGAGGUUUUCGGUAGUUGCAGUUGGUUAGCAAUGUGUCAGCAAGCUGACGAUGUGGACAGGACGGCGUGCUUGUGCAGCCCGGACCAGCCUGGCGAACGCUGCUCCGAAGUGCAAGAGGUCGCCCGAAGGUUGAGGAUUAUAGGGGACCAUUUGCAAGAAAGGGCACAGAGCAAAGCCGCCGACAGGAUCCACACCAACGUCAGCAACAAGCACCUUUAUACCAUUUGCACGCUCGUGCAUGUCACAGCGCUCUUCAUACUCAUCAGAAAUAAACACCUGUAGGAAGUUUGACACCUGGGAUCCGGACUUCAACAGGUGGCAGGUGGACUGUCAGUCAUUCAAUCGACGCAAUAAAGGUCGGGGCGUUGCUCUGGAGUGAAACUCAGCCCCAAACUUGGGCCGAUCAAACUACUGGAAUGCGGAGGAGUGGGACCGAAAAUUAUUGCACCGCUUACAUUUAUGAAAACAUCAGAGCAAUUUUUUAAAAACAUAUGCAUGUUUUGAAAUGUGGAGUGCAACAUUUUGUUACAACAAUUUUAUACCAGUUGAAUAGAGUCGUUGAUUCUACUG